GUGCUCCUCACAUCCUGGAUGCUCUGGAAGCACUGGAACACAUGCACCUUUGAUAACUUGCAUCCUGACCACCACAGCCUUCUUAGGGACAUCACCGACGCGGGUCGCGCAUGGAUCCUGGUGGGCGCUGUCGGCCUAGCAGCCUGAAGGCCUGAAGGCUGGGAUGUCCACUGA
rnacentral:rRNA from 1 species